GGGGAUAUAGCUCAAUUGGCUAGAGCACUACGCUGGCAGCGUAGAGGUUGCCGGUUCAAAUCCGGCUAUCUCCA
rnacentral:tRNA from 1 species